GACGAACGCUGGCGGCGUGCUUAACACAUGCAAGUCGAACGGAAAGGCUCUGCUUUUGUGGUGUGUUCGAGUGGGGAACGGGAGAGUAACACGAGAGUAACCCGCCCCUGACUUUGGGACAAGUUCAGGAAACUGGGGCCAAUACUGGAUCGGAGCUCCCGCUGCUUGGUGUGGGUUGGAAUGCCUCGGCGGUUGGGGAUGGACUCGCGGCGUAUCAGCUUGUUGGUGGGGUAGUGGCUUACCAAGGCUUUGACGGGUAGCCGGCCUGAGAGGGUGACCGGCCACAUUGGGACUGAGAUACGGCCCAGACUCCUACGGGAGGCAGCAGUGGGGAAUAUUGCGCAAUGGGCGGAAGCCUGAUGCAGCAACGCCGCGUGCGGGAUGACGGCCUUCGGGUUGUAAACCGCUUUCGCCUGUGACGAAGCGUGAGUGACGGUAAUUGGAGAAGAAGCACCGGCUAACUACGUG
rnacentral:rRNA from 1 species